AUUGAACGCUGGCGGCAGGCCUAACACAUGCAAGUCGAGCGGAUGAAGAGAGCUUGCUCUCUGAUUCAGCGGCGGACGGGUGAGUAAUGCCUAGGAAUCUGCCUGGUAGUGGGGGACAACGUUUCGAAAGGAACGCUAAUACCGCAUACGUCCUACGGGAGAAAGCAGGGGACCUUCGGGCCUUGCGCUAUCAGAUGAGCCUAGGUCGGAUUAGCUAGUAGGUGGGGUAAAGGCUCACCUAGGCGACGAUCCGUAACUGGUCUGAGAGGAUGAUCAGUCACACUGGAACUGAGACACGGUCCAGACUCCUACGGGAGGCAGCAGUGGGGAAUAUUGGACAAUGGGCGAAAGCCUGAUCCAGCCAUGCCGCGUGUGUGAAGAAGGUCUUCGGAUUGUAAAGCACUUUAAGUUGGGAGGAAGGGCAGUAAGCUAAUAUCUUGCAGCUUUGACGUUACCAACAGAAUAAGCACCGGCUAACUCUGUGCCAGCCGCCGCUGUAAGAC
rnacentral:rRNA from 1 species